rnacentral:rRNA from 1 species
UGGGGAAUUUUGGACAAUGGGCGAAAGCCUGAUCCAGCAAUGCCGCGUGUGUGAAGAAGGCCUUCGGGUUGUAAAGCACUUUUGUCCGGAAAGAAAUGGCUCUGGUUAAUACCUGGGGUCGAUGACGGUACCGGAAGAAUAAGGACCGGCUAACUACGUGCCAGCAGCCGCGGUAAUACGUAGGGUCCAAGCGUUAAUCGGAAUUACUGGGCGUAAAGCGUGCGCAGGCGGUUUGCUAAGACCGAUGUGAAAUCCCCGGGCUCAACCUGGGAACUGCAUUGGUGACUGGCAGGCUAGAGUAUGGCAGAGGGGGGUAGAAUUCCACGUGUAGCAGUGAAAUGCGUAGAGAUGUGGAGGAAUACCGAUGGCGAAGGCAGCCCCCUGGGCCAAUACUGACGCUCAUGCACGAAAGCGUGGGGAGCAAACAGGAUUAGAUACCCUGGUAGUCCACGCCCUAAACGAUGUCAACUAGUUGUUGGGGAUUCAUUUCCUUAGUAACGUAGCUAACGCGUGAAGUUGACCGCCUGGGGGAGUACGGUCGCAAGAUUAAAACUUAAAUGAAUUGACGGGGUCAUAGCUGUUUCCU